rnacentral:rRNA from 1 species
GACGGAGGAGGCAAGCGUUAUCCGGAAUUAUUGGGCGUAAAGGGUACGUAGGCGGCUGGUCAAGUCUGGGGUUAAAGGCCACAGCUCAACUGUGGGAAGGCCCUGGAAACUGACCGGCUAGAGUGAGGUAGGGGUUGCCGGAAUUCCCGGUGUAGCGGUGAAAUGCGUAGAGAUCGGGAGGAACACCUGAGGCGGAAGCGCGCAACUGGGCCUUAACUGACGCUGAGGUGCGAAAGCUAGGGGAGCGAAUGGG